rnacentral:misc_RNA from 1 species
AGGAUACUAUAUUUGGUCAUUUCUAGACGACUUCGAAUGGGAUCAGGGUUACACUGUUCGAUUUGGGAUCACUUACAUAGAUUACACAAAUAAAUUAAAAAGAUAUAUCAAACACUCUGCUUUCUGGUUCGAGAAGUUCCUUCAAAAGGAGAACAGAACCACUGCAUCUUCUUUGUUGUACUCGGAAUGAUUAAGAUAAAAAUAACUGUCAAUUACCUCUCAAAUCUCAAUUAUUUUGAUGGUGUCUGAUAGUGAUCAUAUAAUCAUCUUGGCUAUUUGCAG